GGCUCAGGGAUUAGCUGGCGGCAGGUCUAAUCAUGCAAAUACAGUGGGGCAGCAGGGGCGUAGCAAUACGUUCGCUGGCGUUCGGCCAACGGGUGCGGAACACGUACACAACCUUCCUUAAAGUGGGGGAUAGCCCGGGGAAACCCGGAUUAAUACCCCGUAACAUAGUGAAGUGGCAUCGCUUUAUUAUUAUAGCAGCAAUGCGCUUAAAGAUGGGUGUGCGACUGAUUAGGCAGUUGGCGGGGUAACGGCCCGCCAAACCUACGAUCAGUAACUGGUGUGAGAGCACGACCAGUCGCACGGGCACUGAGACACGGGCCCGACUCCUACGGGAGGCAGCAGU
rnacentral:rRNA from 1 species